AGAGUUUGAUCCUGGCUCAGGAUGAACGCUAGCUACAGGCUUAACACAUGCAAGUCGAGGGGCAGCAGAUCGAAAGCUUGCUUUUGAUGCUGGCGACCGGCGCACGGGUGAGUAACGCGUAUCCAACCUUCCCUAUAGUAGAGAAUAGCCCGGCGAAAGUCGAAUUAAUGCUCUAUGUUGUAUUUAGAGGACAUCUGAAGAAUACCAAAGGUUUACCGCUAUAGGAUGGGGAUGCGUCUGAUUAGGUUGUUGGCGGGGUAACGGCCCACCAAGCCGACGAUCAGUAGGGGUUCUGAGAGGAAGGUCCCCCACAUUGGAACUGAGCCAUGAUCAAACUC
rnacentral:rRNA from 1 species